GGACAAACGUUUGGCAUCACCAAUGUUGGAUGACUUGUUCAUUACACAUGGAACCACAUGUAUAUAUUUGGGGACCUGAGGACUCUGCAUCCCUGGAUUACUGAAAUAUCAAAUUAUCAGAGCUUGCUCAGAACACCACCACAACUAAGUAAUGGCUUAAAUCCAUUAACAACUCAGGCAUUAUAGAAAAAAAAGUCAAUGUCCAAGGAGCUUUCAAGACUCUGGGAUCUGUAAAUGAAGAGAAUUUGAACUAUCGGAAUAUCAAAGGACAUCCAGAUCAUGAUUUAACAGAGAUGGAAGAAGUUAAAAACAAACAUACAAAGGACAAGGGAAAAUAAUCAAGCCUACAUACGCUGCAUAUUCUGUAAUACACCCAGUGUACAGAGUGCAAAGUUCUCUGGUUUAUUAGAUUACUUAUUUUGUUAUUAAAUCCACUUUAUUUUACUGUGCAUCUGUUUUCAAAGUGUAACAGCAUUUUGUAUUGACAAUAUAGACCUCCCUUGUUCAAAGACCUUAUCUGCACAAAAGCUGUACCAGUAUAAGUUAUAUCAAUGUAGCUAAACUGAUUACUGAACUGAUAAAGUGUAUUCACACAAUUCCUGCCUGGAUUUGUGCAUGUGAUCUUUCAUCUCACACCCUGUGCCCCAAAAGCAAUACACUGCAUUAAUCCAAGCAUAGUGUUAAAUGGUCCCUUGUUCUUAUUUUAAACUCACAAUAUUCUAGGCAUUUUUUCCAAUAGAUCAUGGAAUACCUUGUGGGCCUUAAGGCAGACAUAAAAGCUGGAACCAACCACCUAUCCACUUUCCAACUGUAUUCCAGACCUCCAGAAUACCGGUGCUCAAGCUAUUUCUGAGCUGCUCCCUACCAACAUGAACGAAACCCAGAUGAUUUAUUUGCUUCUUUUUAACGGAGAGCAGAAUCUCUGGCAUUGGAGAGCUGUGAGGGAGAAAGCUAAGGCCUUAGUAGCUGGAUAAGGUACAGUUGAGACUUUUUGCAUUAGAAAAAUAUACUAAAUUGUUGAUGUUCCCAAGGACAGCACUAUAAUGUGAUUAUACGUGGAAUGCAUUUAAGUCUAACUGAAGCAAAUGAGACUGAAUUACAUAAUUAUUGUCUUGAAUAGGUAUAGAAGGAGUACAUGCUUGGGAGCCUUCAAAUGUGGGAUAACACACAGUAAUAAGAUUGUCUGCUAAAAGGAUGUAAUAAUUAGUAAUGUUUACAUUCAAAUUGUCAUAAUGUAAUUUCAGUAUUAACUCCUCACUAAGGCAAACAAGAUCAGCUUAACAAUCACAGCUAUUGCUUCAGACUAUCUACAAAGAAAUAUAGCACUGUACCUGUUUACACCUGAAAGUUUUCUUUGCAACAAACUACCAUUUUAAUUGCCAGUGGAAACAGUUUCUGCCAGCACAAACCUCUAGCAGGGAUAGAGUCGGUUGCAAAUUGUCUCUGUGUGCCAUCUCAGAGUACACCAGGUCCUGAGAACAAGAGGCACAAUGAUGGAAGAACUACAAACUAGACUCCAGUCUGCAGCUACUAAAACCUGAGUGAAGUUUGACAACCAGACUCUGAACAGUAGCCUGGGUACAUAUCUUUCUCUCCUCCCACACCCCUAUUUGCAAAGGGUUCAUAUUGGGCUGGUAAACAUCCUUAUAAUACCAUUGCAUGAGAAUGGGGGCCGAGUAGGUGUGAACAGCACAUGCUGCUUGCCUGAAGUUUAUCAGAAGCAUUACACUGCUCCCUCAAGAUUGGCAAGAAAAUCAGCUACCCUGGAGGAGGAGUCCUAGAUCAACACAGCUUUCAUUGCAGUCAAGAAGAGGAGAAUUCACCCCAGUACAGAGAAUUAAAAAUAUUCUCACACAUCCAGCUGAGGAACUCAUGACCCCACAGUAUGGGGAUACUUGACUUCCCUCUAGCAACCAACAGAAGACCAAGACCUCCAGCACUCAAAUCACAAACUCCCAAUGACCACAGCGGAAGUGUUCACAUUGCAGUCCCUGUCAGAUUCUAACAGAUCCGCUAAAUUUGCUAAAUACCUUGUCAUCAACAAUUUCAGACAUGCACAAUUCUGGAAAAAAAAAUCUAGUUAUGACAAGGACAUGAGAAGAAGAAGGAAUGACCCUAGCAAGAGAUCAGAGACUUUCACUGAACCCCAGGCUUGAACCACAGCUUAAGUAGUAGCUUGAAAGAUUACCACCCCCACUUAUUUUUACCAGUACAACCACUGCUAUCUCCUUUUAUUUGCUGAAAAGUGGAAGAGAAAAAGAGCCUGCAGUUUAGGCUAACUUAUAUGGGUCAUGUUUUAUUUCCCUUGCUCUACUUUUCAUAUUUUACAUCUCUUCUUACUAAAUUCAUUUCUGAAUAUCUUCCCUUUGUCACUGCUCUCACAUCACAUGGGUCCUUCCCCUAUAAAGUGUUUCUAUUCAUUUUGGGGCUAAGCAGUCUUUGGAGUCCCAGUCCACAGUAGAAGUACUUUGUCGGUAUAGUGAUAUGUACUUACUGUACUGGCAAGUUGUGCUUUGUACCAGUAUAAUAAAACCAUCCUAUGUAACAGCUCAGUUUUACCAGUAUAACUUUGCCUGUAUAACAGAUUUCUGCCAGUAAAGCCUAUAUUCGUCAA